GCUUGCUACUUUUGCCGGCCAGCGGCGGACGGGUGAGUAAUGCCUGGGGAUCUGCCCAGUCGAGGGGGAUAACAGUUGGAAACGACUGCUAAUACCGCAUACGCCCUACGGGGGAAAGCAGGGGACCUUCGGGCCUUGCGCGAUUGGAUGAACCCAGGUGGGAUUAGCUAGUUGGUGAGGUAAUGUCUCACCCAGGCGACGAUCCCUAGCUGGGCUGAGAGGAUGAUCCGCCACACUAGUACUGACACACGCUCAAGACUAAUACGGGAGGCAGCAGUGGGGAAUAUUGCACAAUGGGGGAAACCCUGAUGCAGCCAUGCCGCGUGUGUGAAGAAGGCCUUCGGGUUGUAAAGCACUUUCAGCGAGGAGGAAAGGUUGGCAGCUAAUAACUGCCAGCUGUGACGUUACUCGCAGAAGAACACCGGCUAACUCCGUGCCAGCAGCCGCGGUAAUACGGAGGGUGCCAGCGUUAAUCGGAAUUACUGGGCGUAAAGCGCACGCAGGCGGUUGGAUAAGUUAGAUGUGAAGCACCGGGCUCAACCUGGGAGUUGAUUUAAACUGUCCAGCUAGAGUCUUGUAGAGGGGGGUAGAAUUCCAGGU
rnacentral:rRNA from 1 species